GGUUCAGGAUGAACGCUAGCUACAGGCUUAACACAUGCAAGUCGAGGGGCAGCAUAACGAAAGCUUGCUUUGUUGAUGGCGACCGGCGCACGGGUGAGUAACGCGUAUCCAACCUUCCCUGUAGUAGAGAAUAGCCCGGCGAAAGUCGGAUUAAUGCUCUAUGUUGUAUUUCGAUGACAUCUGAAGAAUACCAAAGGUUUACCGCUAUAGGAUGGGGAUGCGUCUGAUUAGGUUGUUGGCGGGGUAACGGCCCACCAAGCCUACGAUCAGUAGGGGUUCUGAGAGGAAGGUCCCCCACAUUGGAACUGAGACACGGUCCAAACUCCUACGGGAGGCAGCAGUGAGGAAUAUUGGUCAAUGGACGGAAGUCUGAACCAGCCAAGUAAGCGUGCAGGAUGACGGCCCUAUGGGUUGUAAACUGCUUUUAUAUGGGGAUAAAGUCGGGGACGUGUCCCCGUUUGUAGGUACUAUAUGAAUAAGGACCGGCUAAUUCCGUGCCAGCCGCCGC
rnacentral:rRNA from 1 species